GAUUUACAGGGAUAAGCAAGCAGAACGAAUGUGGCAGAGUGGCAAAUAGCACAUUAUAAUGUCUAAGAAAAUGUUAAAAUCACUUACAGACAAUGUAAGUCAACGAGUGACUACAUCAAGGACUCAUGUUAUGCAGUAACUUGGAGGAGGCUGUUUAUAUAUCAAUCAAAAUUUAAAUGGAGAGAGACAAGAGAAAACAAUUAAGAAGUGCAAAUGAAAGAGAUAUCAAAAUGAAAGCUUUAACUAAAACUAUACUGAUUGCUGCAUUAAAUGCUAGUUUUUUGGUAAGAGAUCUUGAUGUAAAUGUUAAUUAUUAAGCAAAAGUAAACAAAGAUUUGCCGUGUUUCAAAUUUGCAAUAGUAGAUGUACUGCAGCAUAUGGAAUUGUAGUCUUAUCUCUCAGGGCAAAAUCCUGAGGGAAGGGUAACCCUUCUUCUCAAUCCCUGCCCUACUUCAAACAUGUCUGAGAUAAAUCACUGCAUCUAAUUUUAGUUAAGGUCCACACAAAAUAAAGAAUGAUGUACUGUCAGAUGUUUACAAUAUUUAUAAAGCUAAUGUUAAAGAACUCAAAAUGUCUGUCUGAAGAUGAAUAUAUGCCAUAUUUUCUAAUGUUAGUAUUUGUAAAAUAAGAAAAAUUUGGUUACAGGUAUGAAAGAAAUGUAGUAGUUACAUAUCCCACACAACAAUAUUUACAUAAGCUCUUGGGCUUAUAAGACUAAUGUAUAUGUCUGAUUAUGACCACAAAGUACUUAGUUAUUUUCUAAAGAAUCAUACAGUGCAAAUAAAUGCUUUUUUAACAUGACGUCUAUGCUACAUUUCCUUUCAUAUAAAGUACUUGUGCGUUCACAGGGUAGUAGCAUGUCAGAGAACAGCAACUAGUUACACUUUUGUAUUUACAAUCACCCAUGCUUCAAGCACUCAUUACUAAAUUCAAUUAUCCAUGUAAAAGAAUUAUUCUCACAUUUUACACAAAUUUUUAUAUAAUUCAUAUAACAGAUGCUGUCUCUGACCAUGAACUGGAUAAAUAUGUACUUAUAUUUAUUUACUCUUAAUCAGAAAAAUGCAUCUGAACUCUGAAUGAAUACAUGAUCUGGUAAUAUUGAUUCACAAUAUGUGCACCCAAUACGUGGUCCUAAACCCUUCGAAGAUUAACAUUCUCUCCCAGAUGUGGUCGACUACACAGCCUGAAUGAUCAUACCAUGUCUGAGAUAUACAGGACUUGCUGCCAUUUAAAUGUAACUGCAAGGACAGGCCAUUUAUAGUCUUCAAGGGGUUAACAGCACUCUUUUCUGCAACACUAACAAUACUAAUUAAUUACCUGUAUACAUCAUCUUUGGUUUAAAUCUUAACCUACAAUGAAAAAUAAAACAAACACGCAUUAAAACUAACAGUAACACUUUGUAUCAAUAAAGAUAAAAGUAUUCUUGUCAUAUUGUGAAUCUAUAUGUCAUCAGUGAAUUGUUUCUGUACUUAUUGUCAUGAUCUUUGUGUGUCACACACAUAGCAUAAAGAUACAUCCAUGUAGCAAGUUGCACAGAUACAAUGACAAGUACAAAGCUUGACAACAGAACAAUUUUAAACUCUAAUAAUACUGCAAAGAAAAUAAAUACACGAGUUACUUUAGAACAAAAAAAAAAAAA